rnacentral:rRNA from 1 species
UGACCUCGGAUCAAGUAG